rnacentral:rRNA from 1 species
GACGUAGGGUGCAAGCGUUGUCCGGAUUUACUGGGCGUAAAGAGCGCGUAGGCGGUUCGUUAAGUGUAGAGUGAAAUCUCUGGGCUCACCCCAGAAACUGCCCUGCAUACUGGCGGACUAGAGGGUCGCAGAGGCUUGUGGAAUUCCCGGUGUAGCGGUGAAAUGCGUAGAGAUCGGAAAGAACACCAACGGCGAAAGCACUCUGCUGGGCCGACACUGACACUGAGAGACGAAAGCUAGGGGAGCGAACAGG